rnacentral:lncRNA from 1 species
AACAUGUCUUCUUUCCACUGUAUACUGGAAUCAAAUAAAACAGUAUCUGUAAAUCAUCUAGGUGGGCAAUCAGACUUGCUCAAUUAAUGUUAAUUCCAUGUCAGUUGAAACAACAACAAUAAAGGAGACCAAACAUGAAGACUGGUAACCACCUGCUCCUGAGGUAUUGGUUUUAACCCAUUUUUUGUUUUGUUUUGUUUUGUUUUUUUAGAACAGGAAGGAAAUAAACAAAUGGAUACCUAGUGGGGAGUAACAGUGCUUCACUGAUGCAUGAGCUCCACAAACCUUCUUUGGGAUGGGGAUGCAAAGGAGAAGAGGACUCUGCUACUGUGUGGAGGACUGCAUUGCCUGCCCAGCCUUCUGAUGCACCAGGGCACUUACUGGAGUUCACGCGCAUGAUUAUGAACUUACAAGGAGCAAGACAUUUUAAAACGGCAGAAUCCAGCUUCCCAGCCAAGGAAGGGACGUAUGGCAUCUCCCUGAGUGCCGGGACUGCACUGUCCGAGCUGAUGUUGAAACCUAGGUAGACUGAUGUCUCUCAUGGGCCAAGUUAAAAAAAAAAAGGUGAGUUUUCUCUAAAAUUAAUUGGCUUUUUUAGGAAAACACAUUGCUGUCCCACAAUGUUAGAAAAUGAGGCUGAGGGGACAGUCCAAAACCAGCGGUUUUUCAGCGUCAGUGCAGAUGUACUCUGGCCUCCGAGUUCAGACCUUACAUAUGAAUGUUUAUGAGAAUAUGGCAUCCAUUUUCCAUCAUACUAAUUUGAUCAGCUAACAUUAUGGAGUGCCUGCAAAAGAAGCUUGCUAGGUACCCGAUGAGAAAGUACCUCACAAAGUGAAAGUACAGAACCAGAAAGGGAUGAUGUGAGUCUUGAUUUUAAUGUUAGCUCUUGUAUUUAUUGAAGGCAAUUAAAAGCAUCAUCUGAUUGAUAUUGGUAAAUUAAGAAGCUAUAUUCUAAACUUCUGUGCCUAAUAUUUCAGUCUAUUGCCGUAUUUUAUGGCCUCUAAUAUUCUUGUUUGAUCAGUUUAUCAGGGAAUUCUUGAAAGUUGAGGGUUUUUUUGAAAGCUCUUGUUUCACAAAGGUGUUUCUUAUAUUUGAAGCAGAUUUUCUGAUUCCAUUUCAAAUAAUCACUAAGGGCAAAUAUAUUUUGGGUUAUCUUUGCCACGUUCCCCCCCACCACCACCAAUUUUUGUUAACAGGUAGAAACUAGCUUUGGCCUGAGAAGUUGGCAUGUUUGUUGUAUCCAUGUGCAGACGUGUGCAUCUGCACAUGGGUGCUUACACACACACACACACACACACACACACACACACACACACACACACACGGGCGACCCUCUCUGGGAUUUGUGGUUUGAAUGAGAAAAGGCCCCCGUCAGGCUGGGACUAGCAGGUCAGGAAAUUUAACCUGACUCUCCCAACCCCAGUCAUCAUCGGCAGGGUCUGAAAAGGCCAGGUUUGUCAGGACUCAAGGAUCCUUGGUGUCUGAGUGGCAAAACCGAUUUGAGGUCCUGUCUGUUCUGUCCUAACAUUUGCCCUGGACUCCUCCGCUCGAACCAACUCUCCCCUCCUGUGUGCACAGUGCCUGGGCGUCUCUUGAUGGGGGUGCAGGGUGAGCGUGAUUACCCCUGACUCCACUCCAUGUGAGGUCAGAGGUCAUUUGCAUGGACUUGCUCGACUGCUUUGGAAGGACAAAGAAAAUGUGUUCCUUGUGUUUGUGGGGGAGAACAGAGCCUGGUGUGAGGGCCUGGAGAGUUCAGUGUAAAACGGGCCCGGAUCGCAAAGACAGGAAAGAAUGGGACAUGUCUCAGUGGUUUGUGAAGAUCUAGGUACGAGCCUGUGCAGGAGGAUGGCGUCUCCCUUCUUUACAGAUGAGAGAUUAAGCAGCUUGUCAAUAUCUUAAGGGUCUUUAGCAAAAUCUACCCCCAAUCCCUAGGAUCCCAGCCCCACCCACCUCCGAAGCCCUUGUUCUAUUCUGUCCUCUGUUCCAUCCUGUCCCCUGAAGAAGCACUGUGCUAGGCCCCUGAGGGGGACACGCAUGUGCACACAGUCACCUCAGGACAUGACGCUCCCAUGACUUCAAUGACUGUGUGCUCUGGAGCUGUGCAGACAGAAGAGAAAGGAUAUUUCACGUCUGUCCUAUAUACCCUUGGAUGGGACACACUGCGAGGAAGUCCUCAGACAUCUUGGCAUCAACUGUCCUGGGUGGUAUCAGAGGAAGCCUUAGGAAGAGGGUUCUCUGGAUUCCCAUCAGCACCUUCCUCCCACCCACCAGCAGUAAAGUCUGAGUAGACAAAUACAUCCAUUAAAUAAUAAAAAAAAUUAUAAUCUAAGCCA